rnacentral:rRNA from 1 species
GGUGGCGAGUGGCGAACGGGUGAGUAAUGUAUCGGAACGUACCAUUCAGUGGGGGAUAACGUAGCGAAAGUUACGCUAAUACCGCGUAUUCUGCGCGCAGGAAAGCAGGGGAUCGCAAGACCUUGCGCUGAUUGAGCGGCCGAUAUCAGAUUAGCUAGUUGGUGAGGUAAAGGCUCACCAAGGCGACGAUCUGUAGCGGGUCUGAGAGGAUGAUCCGCCACACUGGAACUGAGACACGGUCCAGACUCCUACGGGAGGCAGCAGUGGGGAAUUUUGGACAAUGGGGGCAACCCUGAUCCAGCCAUGCCGCGUGAGUGAAGAAGGCCUUCGGGUUGUAAAGCUUUUUCGGCCGGGAAGAAAUCGUAUGGGUUAAUACCCUGUGCGGAUGACGGUACCGGCAUAAGAAGCACCGGCUAACUACGUGCCAGCAGCCGCGGUAAUACGUAGGGUGCGAGCGUUAAUCGGAAUUACUGGGCGUAAAGCGUGCGCAGGCGGUUUUGUAAGACAGGCGUGAAAUCCCCGGGCUCAACCUGGGAACUGCGCUUGUGACUGCAAGGCUAGAGUAUGGCAGAGGGGGGUGGAAUUCCACGUGUAGCAGUGAAAUGCGUAGAGAUGUGGAGGAACACCAAUGGCGAAGGCAGCCCCCUGGGCCAAUACUGACGCUCAUGCACGAAAGCGUGGGUAGCAAACAGGAUUAGAUACCCUGGUAGUCCACGCCCUAAACGAUGUCAACUAGGUGUUGGGUGGGUAAAACCAUUUAGUACCGGAGCUAACGCGUGAAGUUGACCGCCUGGGGAGUACGGCCGCAAGGUUAAAACUCAAAGGAAUUGACGGGGACCCGCACAAGCGGUGGAUGAUGUGGAUUAAUUCGAUGCAACGCGAAAAACCUUACCUACCCUUGACAUGUCCAGGAGCCUGAAGAGAUUUGGGUGUGCCCGAAAGGGAACUGGAACACAGGUGCUGCAUGGCUGUCGUCAGCUCGUGUCGUGAGAUGUUGGGUUAAGUCCCGCAACGAGCGCAACCCUUGUCGUUAAUUGCCAUCAUUCAGUUGGGCACUUUAACGAGACUGCCGGUGACAAACCGGAGGAAGGUGGGGAUGACGUCAAGUCCUCAUGGCCCUUAUGGGUAGGGCUUCACACGUCAUACAAUGGUCGGUACAAAGGGUCGCCAACCCGCGAGGGGGAGCCAAUCCCAGAAAGCCGAUCGUAGUCCGGAUCGUAGGCUGCAACUCGCCUGCGUGAAGUCGGAAUCGCUAGUAAUCGUGGAUCAGCAUGUCACGGUGAAUACGUUCCCGGGUCUUGUACACACCGCCCGUCACACCAUGGGAGCGGGUUCCGCCAGAAGUAGGUAGCCUAACCGCAAGGAGGGCGCUUACCACGGCGGGGUUCGUGACUGGGGUGAAGUCGUAACAAGGUA